rnacentral:rRNA from 1 species
UACGGAGGGUGCAAGCGUUAUCCGGAUUCACUGGGUUUAAAGGGUGCGUAGGCGGGCAGGUAAGUCAGUGGUGAAAUCUCCGAGCUUAACUUGGAACUGCCGUUGAUACUAUUUGUCUUGAAUAUUGUGGAGGUAAGCGGAAUAUGUCAUGUAGCGGUGAAAUGCUUAGAUAUGACAUAGAACACCAAUUGCGAAGGCAGCUUACUACACAACGAUUGACGCUGAGGCACGAAAGCGUGGGGAUCAAACAGG